AACACGACUCUCGGCAACGGAUAUCUYGGCUCUCGCAUCGAUGAAGAACGUAGCGAAAUGCGAUACCUGGUGUGAAUUGCAGAAUCCCGCGAACCAUCGAGUCUUUGAACGCAAGUUGCGCCCGAGGCCAYUCGGCCGAGGGCACGCCUGCCUGGGCGUCACGC
rnacentral:rRNA from 1 species